UACGAAGGGGGCUAGCGUUGCUCGGAAUGACUGGGCGUAAAGGGCGCGUAGGCGGAUGGCACAGUCAGAUGUGAAAGCCCCGGGCUUAACCUGGGAACUGCGUUUGAUACGGAUGGGCUAGAGUUCGGGAGAGGAGAGUGGAAUUCCCAGUGUAGAGGUGGAAUUCGUAGAUAUUGGGAAGAACACCGGUGGCGAAGGCGGCUCUCUGGACCGAUACUGACGCUGAGGCGCGAAAGCGUGGGGAGCGAACAGG
rnacentral:rRNA from 1 species